CUGCUGCCUCCCGUAGGAGUUUGGACCGUGUCUCAGUUCCAAUGUGGGGGACCUUCCUCUCAGAACCCCUACGCAUCGUCGGCUUGGUGGGCCGUUGCCCCACCAACUACCUAAUGCGCCGCAUGCCCAUCCGUGACCGGGGCCGCCCCCUUUGACCGGCAGGGGAUGUCCCCUCCCGGCAUUAUGUUGUAUUAGGCGGGAUUUCUCCCGGUUAUCCAUCUGUCACGGCCAGGUUGCAUACGUGUUACUCACCCGUGCGCCGGUCGCCGGCGG
rnacentral:rRNA from 1 species